UAAACGGAAACAAAACGCUCGAGACACGAGUGCAAUGAGAUUUUAGUUUUCAGUAAACGUUUCUGAGUGAGGUUUUAUGUCGAUGCUUGUGAAUGACCAUACGAUAAUAUUACUAAAGUGAAGUUGGCGUUAUGGGAGUGCAUGGAGACUAUUCAACGAAAAUAGUUUGAGAACUACUGAUGCUGUCCGUUUUGUGCUUUAUUCUGCUGCUGUCUUUGACCGUGUCGCAAUUUGAGUUUUCAUAUAACAGAGAUACGCCAACAUACAUAAAGAAGGCAUUACGUGAGAAGAACAUGUACCGGCCGAGACCACAUCAGAAGAAAACCACAAUUAGUAACCUCACGCUCAAGCAAGUAUUUAAUAAAAUUAAAGAUAUCACCAGAGCUCUGAACAGUAACGCCAAGAAAAAUGGAUACAAAGUGGACUACAAGUUUAGAAUAUUAAAUAAUGAUUAGUGUUUAAUACUAGGCGAAUGUGUAAUGGGCCUAGCGUAGGUACAGUACGUAUUAAUGCAGUUGACUGUAAAAAUAAUUGAUUCCUAUUAAAUGCUGUUAAGUUCACAUGCUAUCACUGCUGAAAAAUACUACAUUACCAUUAAACUUGUAGACGCGUUGCACAGUUGUAAAAAAUAUUAGUUAUGUUAAAAUAAUUAUGCACUCAGCAUAAAAAUACUGCAUCAAAAUCGGUUUAUUAGUUUGGGAGCUACGAUGUCAGACAGACAGAUAUACAGAUACACAGAUCACAACUCAAACUUAUAAUAGUCCUCAUUCUGUCGGGGGUUAAAAAUGAAUUGUAAAAAUACUUGAAAUAUUUUGUUAUUUGCUAUAGAGUCAAAUAGGUGAUAAACUUGACAAAUAAAACUGUUACACAAAUAUCUGAAGCAAUUUCAAUGAAAAAUAAAGUAUAUAAAUCAAUAUAAAA